rnacentral:rRNA from 1 species
UACGAAGGGGGCUAGCGUUGCUCGGAAUUACUGGGCGUAAAGGGAGCGUAGGCGGAUAGUUUAGUCAGAGGUGAAAGCCCAGGGCUCAACCUUGGAAUUGCCUUUGAUACUGGCUAUCUUGAGUACGGGAGAGGUGUGUGGAACUCCGAGUGUAGAGGUGAAAUUCGUAGAUAUUCGGAAGAACACCAGUGGCGAAGGCGACUUACUGGACACAUAUUGACGCUGAGGUGCGAAAGCGUGGGGAGCAAACAGG